rnacentral:rRNA from 1 species
GACGAACGCUGGCGGCGUGCUUAACACAUGCAAGUCGAACGGUAAGGCCCUUCGGGGUACACGAGUGGCGAACGGGUGAGUAACACGUGGGUGAUCUGCCCUGCACUUCGGGAUAAGCCUGGGAAACUGGGUCUAAUACCGGAUAGGACCAUUGCCUGCAUGGGUGGUGGUGGAAAGCUUUUGCGGUGUGGGAUGGGCCCGCGGCCUAUCAGCUUGUUGGUGAGGUAACGGCUCACCAAGGCUUCGACGGGUAGCCGGUCUGAGAGGACGAUCAGCCACAAGGGCACGGCGACACGGGCCAGACGCCUGCGGGAGGCAGCAGUAAGGAAUAUUGGGGAAUGGGAGAAAGCCUGACGCAGCGACGACGCGUGGGGGAUGAAGGUCUUCGGAUUGUAAACCCCUUUCGGGAGGGAAGAUGGAACGAGCAAUCGUUCGGACGGUAGCUCCAGAAGCAGCCACGGCUAACAACGUGCCAGCCGCCGCCGUAA